GAAAUGCGAUAAGUAGUGUGAAUUGCAGAAUUCAGUGAAUCAUCGAAUCUUUGAACGCACAUUGCGCCCCUUGGUAUUCCAUGGGGCAUGCCUGUUCGAGCGUCAUUUGUACCCUCAAGCUCUGCUUGGUGUUGGGUGUUUGUCCCGUCUCCGCGCGUGGACUCGCCCCAAAGUGAUUGGCAGCCGGCGUACUGGUCCCGGAGCGCAGCACAUGUCGCGCAAACGAGUGCCUUGGUACGGCGGCGUCCAUAAGCCCCUCUCUCACGCUCUUGACCUCGGAUCAGGUAGGGAUUCCCGCUGAACUUGAGC
rnacentral:misc_RNA from 1 species